CAUGUUUAGGAGCGGAGUGCAUAUGGAAUGGUGACCAGAAGGCGAUUAAUGUGUUUUAAUCUCUUCUGCAGCUGUGUAUUUAACCAUGCCUGACGAACGUCAGCGGGGUUACUGCAUUCGGUGCGGUAUCUGGCUGGCUGGGUAAGUAUGUAUGUAUGUAUGUAUGUGGCAAUGUCUGUUCCGAUAUCUCUGCAAGUGCUGAAGUCAGGAUAAUCAAACUUGGCACUGAAGAUCAGUCUAAGGUCCCCUGCUCAGUUGUGGAGUUACAGUUCAGUAGAUCAAGUAGGAAGGGAGAUACGUAUGAUGAUCAAAAUUGACACAUAUAUUGCAUCAUUUGUAUAGGGAGGACAAUGUUUUCCCCAGUAGAGGGCGUGGUUCUGCCCUCUACUGAGGGCUCGUCCAGUUAAUUUUAAGUUACAACUGUUGUUUCCGUUUAGUCACUCCAUCCUGAUUGCACUGUGUUAAUGUGCCCACCAGGGGCCUGUUUCACAAAGCAAGUUUACUGAAAACUCUGAGUUUCUUAACCCUGAAAUGAGGGAAACUCAGAGUUUUCCGUUUCACGAAGCGAGGUAACUUAACCCUGAGACAGAGGGGUAACUCUAGUCUGUUUCACAAAGAGGGGUAACUUCAACUCUGGGUCAGUUACCGCAGUAACAGACUCUAUGACUCUAACCAGUUUCUCUCCGUCUCCGCCCUCUUUCAGCCACACGCUGUUUCAUUUCCUCAUUCAUUCAGUCAGUAAGCGAGCGAGUUUUGGCGUAGAACAGCUUUUAUUAACGAUCCAGUGGAUAAAGGAGCAGCAUUACUGCACAGAUCAUUAAAUAUUCGUCGGUAGAUUGUUAUCAGACCGAGCAUAAAUGUUCUCGCAUUUCCGGACAGUUAUCGGUUUGAGCGGUACCGUUUCCUAAUCGUUUCAAGUCCAUAAUCUACAUAAACAACCUAAUCCGUCCUUACAUUUACAUUACCAACCAGUCAUGCUCUCACAUCCAGCAGAUAUUGUGUGUUGCUGCGGUUCUUUGCAAAUGGAAGUUUUUAUAUAAUGUCGGAGAUGCAGAGUAAGACAACUGUAUGGAGGACAGUCAGAAAAGUUUUCCUGGCUCUGAAACGACUUUUACCAUCAUUGUGGACAUAAACCUGUCAGAGCAUCAAGGAGGAUCCACAGGAUUGCAGGUGAAUGAUGUAGAGAUCUGUUAAAUUCAUUUUAAAUCAUAUUCUGUUAAUGACAUUGUGCUGCAGCCUCAGACUGGGAUUAGUCAUUUUAAUUUCUUUUAGGAUUUCCCAGUGUGAUUGGCUGCAUAGAUGCACACACAUCCCCAUCACAGCUCCCUCACAUCAUGAAUAGGAAGUCCAUUCACAGCAUAAAUGUGCAGGUAGGCUACAGGUAGACUGACUACUGUUUCUAAAUGUUAAAGACUGCAUCAUAGUUCAACAUCUGUCAUUCUCUGCACUGUCCAGAUCAGAUGUGAUGCUGCAUACAUCAUUUCUAAUGUGGAGGCCACGUGGUCUGGGUCUGUUCAUGACGCCAGGAUUUAUGGAGAGUCUAACCUGAGCAACAGACUGCAGCGUGGAGAGUUUGAUGGCCUUCUGCUGGGUGACAGGGGUUACCAUGACAACCCAGGCUGAUGACCUCAUACGCUGACCCUGAACCAGGCCCCCAACAGAACUUCAACCGGACUCACUGCAGGACCAGAGCCCGGGUGGAGAUGACCAUAGGCCUGCUGAAAGCCCGUUUCCAGAGCCUACGUCUCCUCAGGGUGACCCCUGAGAGGGCCUGUGAUAUUACUGUGGCAUGUGUUGUUCUUCAUAAUAUUACCACUAUCAGAGGAGAGCAACAGCCUGCCCUACAAACUGAAGACCCAGAUGAUGAGUCCAUCCACCUGCAGCUAUCCAGGACAGCAGAGCAGUCAGAGACACCGUAUGCAAGAAUCACUUUAGAGUUUAAGUCUCCAUCAUCACCACCACAGCAAAUAAAGACAUGAUACACAUUUCA